UAACUAUGUAGAUUAUCAUCACCAAUAGGAGACCGUCUAAAGCAGAAUAUCUAUGUAGAUUAUCACCACCAAUAGGAGACAGUCUAAAGCAGAAUAACUAUGUAGAUUAUCAUCACCAAUAGGAGACAGUCUAAAGCAGAAUAACUAUGUAGAUUAUCAUCACCAAUAGGAGACAGUCUAAAGCAGAAUACCUAUGUAGAUUAUCAUCACCAAUAGGAGACAGUCUAAAGCAGAAUAACUAUGUAGAUUAUCAUCACCAAUAGGAGACAGUCUAAAGCAGUAGUUGAAUGAUAGUGUGCCGGACGAUGUACAACUCACUCGCCCGUUGUCAGACUCUACCGGCCCUGAUACACAUGCUAGUCUGCCAGAAUGUUCUGCUGCACAUAGGUGGAACAGGUAGUCUGCCUAGAACGUUCUGCUGCCCAGAGGUGGAACAGGUAGUCUGCCUAGAACGUUCUGCUUCCCAGAGGUGGAACAGGAAGUCUGCCUAGAACGUUCUGCUUCCCAGAGGUGGAACAGCGAGUCUGCCAAGAACAUUCUGCUUCCUAGAGGUGAAACAGGUAGUCUGCCUACUUGCAUGAUCAUUGGAAAGUGAAAUAGCAGUUGGUCGGGUCUGUUUGUAGUUGAACACAGAUUGUGUCUCAGCCCCGUUGUGGGGACUUACAUGCAGCAUAUCGAGCGACUGCAGACGGAGAAGUUUUUUUUUUUUAUAGCCUUCGAUAUAUAUACUUUUUUGGGGAGACGCUCGUUCACAUCACAGCAGGGUUUAUUUAUUUCAACUGUUCAGAAAUAGGAGAAAGACGGGCUACGUCGUUAUGGUACAGAAGAGGGUAAAGAGAGAAACGUUAAGGGGAGUGUGAGCAGACGCCACGUGUAUAAAAUAACACGCUGAACGUAAUGCGGAUCCGAGGCUUUGAGACAGAGGUUUCCGAUGAGGCGCGGCAGGGGGGCAAACUCUCCUUAUCGGCAGCCAGGGCCUGUUGUGAUGAAUCUCUGUUGUGAUGAAUCUCCGUAUCUCCAGCCAGGGCCUGUUGUGAUGAAUCUCUGUUGUGAUGAAUCUCUGUAUCUCCAGCCAGGGCCUGUUGUGAUGAAUCUCUGUUGUGAUGAAUCUCUGUAUCUCCAGCCAGGGCCUGUUGUGAUGAAUCUCUGUUGUGAUGAAUCUCCGUAUCUCCAGCCAGGGCCUGUUGUGAUGAAUCUCUGUAUCUCCAGCCAGGGCCUGUUGUGAUGAAUCUCUGUUGUGAUGAGUCUCUGUAUCUCCAGCCAGGGCCUGUUGUGAUGAAUCUCUGUUGUGAUGAGUCUCUGUAUCUCCAGCCAGGGCCUGUUGUGAUGAAUCUCUGUUGUGAUGAAUCUCUGUUGUGAUGAAUCUCUGUAUCUCCAGCCAGGGCCUGUUGUGAUGAGUCUCUGUAUCUCCAGCCAGGGCCUGUUGUGAUGAAUCUCUGUUGUGAUGAGUCUCUGUAUCUCCAGCCAGGGCCUGUUGUGAUGAGUCUCUGUAUCUCCAGCCAGGGCCUGUUGUGAUGAGUCUCUGUAUCUCCAGCCAGGGCCUGUUGUGAUGAAGUAUGUCCUCAUUCUGAUGAGGGAAACAUGAUAUCCAUGAUAUCCA
ensembl:lncRNA